UGCGACUAUGGCCCGGGGGCCGCGGGAAUACGAUGGGUGCGGUGUUGUGCGGGAAGUACGGGGGGUAAAGAGCUGGUGGGCGGGCUGUGGGGUGCAUUGGGAAAACUGGCAGCGCAACUGCAAGCUUGCAGUCGAUGCGGGCAGACUAGAGUACUGCAGGGGAGACUGGAAUUCCUGGUGUAGCGGUGAAAUGCGCAGAUAUCAGGAGGAACACCGGUGGCGAAGGCGGGUCUCUGGGCAGUAACUGACGCUGAGAAGCGAAAGCGUGGGUAGCGAACAGGAUUAGAUACCCCAGUAGUC
rnacentral:rRNA from 1 species